AUUGAACGCUGGCGGCAGGCUUAACACAUGCAAGUCGAAAGAGUGGCGGACGGGUGAGUAAUGCUUGGGAAUCUAGCUUAUGGAGGGGGAUAACUACGGGGAACUGUAGCUAAUACCGCGUACCAUCGGAUGAGCCCAAGUGGGGUUAGGUAGGUGGUGAGGUAAAGGCUCACCAAGCCGACGAUCCCUAGCUGGUCUGAGAGGAUGACCAGCCACACUGGGACUGAGACACGGCCCAGACGCCUAAGGUAGGCAGAAGUGGGGAAUGUUGCGCAAUGGGGGCAACCUGACGCAGCCAUGCCGCGGGAAUGAAGAAGGCCUUCCGGUUGUAAAGGGAUCCCGGUAGAGAUGCAUUAACUACAGAAGAAGCACUGGCUAAAUCCGUGCCAGCAGCCGACGUAAUAC
rnacentral:rRNA from 1 species